GGAUGAGCCCGCGGCCUAUCAGCUUGUUGGUGGGGUAAUGGCCUACCAAGGCUUCGACGGGUAGCCGGCCUGAGAGGGUGACCGGCCACACUGGGACUGAGACACGGCCCAGACUCCUACGGGAGGCAGCAGUGGGGAAUAUUGGACAAUGGGCGAAAGCCUGAUCCAGCAACGCCGCGUGAGGGAUGACGGCCUUCGGGUUGUAAACCUCUUUCAGCACAGACGAAGCGAAAGUGACGGUAUGUGCAGAAGAAGCACCGGCCAACUACGUGCCAGCAGCCGCGGUAAUACGUAGGGUGCGAGCGUCGUCCGGAAUUAUUGGGCGUAAAGGGCUCGUAGGCGGUUUGUUGCGUCAGGAGUGAAAACUCGGGGCUUAACCCCGAGCCUGCUUCUGAUACGGGCAGACUUGAGGUAUGCAGGGGAGAACGGAAUUCCUGGUGUAGCGGUGAAAUGCGCAGAUAUCAGGAGGAACACCGGUGGCGAAGGCGGUUCUCUGGGCAUUACUGACCU
rnacentral:rRNA from 1 species